rnacentral:misc_RNA from 1 species
AAGUCGUAACAAGGUUUCCGUAGGUGAACCUGCGGAAGGAUCAUUAAUGAAUUGCAGAAUGGUUACCUUCGGUGCUGGCUCGUUGCAAGUGCACGUUGGUGGCUUUCAUCCAAUACCCUUGUGAACCUUUGGCCUCUUGCUAGCCUUCGGACUGGCAGAGGAUUUUUACACACUCCGAAUGUAACUGAAAACGUAUUGUCGUGCGCAAGCACUAAUGUACAAC